GUAAGAAGCAGAAACGUUAGCGUUGCCAUGGAUACAUGAGUGUUAAAUUCUGUCCAUGUUUCCAUUUUGGGAACUGCAGUCCAGUUCCAGAAUGUGGAGGAAUUUAGUCUCACAAUCACAGACAACAAAUAUUAUCUGAAAGUCGGGUUAUUGUUGUUUAUCAGCACAAUACAAAAAGAUUAAUGUUAGAAAUAUUCCAGUUAAGACUCUAGAAUAUCAUGAUUUAUGUAAAUUUACCUCAAUAAUAUGAAUGUUCAGGUUAAGAUUGUGCAGUGAUAUUUAUUCUGUAAGUUUAGCUGAUUAAAGUUUAUGACUCUGCACUAAAAUAUUAUUUAAAUUUACAUCAUUAUUAUAAUAUUUAGGGUCAGACCCUACAGUAUUGAGAUUAAGAAAUUAAAUAUUCUAUAAAGUGUAAAUACACUGAACUCAUUUGGAUAUAUUUAAGUGAGACUCUACAAUAUUAUUUGACACAAAUCUAUCUAAAUCAAAAUUUUAAUAAUUUUCACGCCAAACAUUUACCGGACUGAUUGAAAUAUUAAAAUCACUCCUUUCUAAUCCUCUGCUGUACGUUCAAACCUGAGGCCUUAAAUAGAAACACACAAGUAUCUGUUUGAAGGAACUUCUGUAGAAUCCUGGUUCCAGAACAUGAUGAUAGAAUUAUAGACAAACUUUAACAAAAGCUGCCUGAGAGUUUACAGGUUUUUAUGUUAGAUUUCUUCAGUAAUUUAAUGAGUUAUCAGCAAAAAUCAAGUGUUCAUUUGAUGAACUUCAUUUCCUAAAACAUCCAGAAUAGGAGCUCAUAUCUUUGGCAGCUGUAAAGUUUCUGCUCCUUCAAAGUUCACAACACAAUGAAUUAAUUCCUAAAACACUCUCAAUGCUGGAGAGCGUUUGAUGCUGAAGCAGUGACCAGUUUUUCUGUUUCUUCUCUGGAGAUGCACAAUGAGGGACGUCUGCAGAGACUGAGAAAGAGUCUCACCACAUCCUGACAUGAGGAAAAAGACUUUAUUGAAGACUACAAUGAGAAAAACUAUCAGACAGCAGACGGCUGCAUUCAAGUCUGUAGCUGCUGAAUUCAUGGAUGAAUCAUCUGGCACUAGAGAAGAAGACCAUCAAACAUCCACGUCAGCUGAUGGAGGUCCAAGAGUCUCACCAAACAAACAACCUACAGAGUGAAGACCUCAAAUCUGAUUGGACGGCCUCCUAUUCAGCCACAUGUGUGAACAAAUGCCUCUAAGUUGAUUUGUUUUCUAAAAUAAAUCUAGUUUGAGUCCUGAUCUAUGCCU
ensembl:lncRNA